rnacentral:rRNA from 1 species
AGAUUGAACGCUGGCGGCAUGCUUUACACAUGCAAGUCGAGCGGCAGCGCGGGGGCAACCCUGGCGGCGAGCGGCGAACGGGUGAGUAAUGCAUCGGAACGUGUCCCGUAGUGGGGGAUAACCCGGCGAAAGCCGGACUAAUACCGCAUAUGCUCUACGGAGGAAGCGGGGAUUCGCAAGACCUCGCGCUAUGGGAGCGGCCGAUGUCCGAUUAGCUAGUUGGCGGGGUAACGCCCACCAAGGCGACGAUCGGUA